GGAUGUCAGGGUAGCGGGACACUCUGAACUCCACACAUAAACCUGACGAAUUGACGAUACCCCCUGGCGACUUGGAGGGGCAAGUAACUCGCUUUAUGUUGCUACAACGGUGUUGCUACGGGAAGACUGAGGCUGCUUCUGGCGUUUAAAUUUCAGACAGGAUAGAACUGAAGUAACUUUUUUAAAUAAUUUAUGUCAGCGAACGUGUACUCGACAGGAUCUUAUCUUUGAUACUUCUCGUAAUAGUGGUUCUGUCCUGGGGAUAUGUCAUCUACGCAACAAGAAUCGCAGCAAAAUGGCAACUGGAAAAAACAUUCAAGACCACAAACUGAACCCUCGAUUUGGAACUGAAUAUAAACACGAAUGAAACUAGAAACAUCUGAAACUUGUGUCAGAAACUCAGUUUAAAAAAAAAAAAAAGUGAUUUUACAUUUGAUGUUCAACUGACCCUUUUUCAUUAAAUAUGGUUUAAUCAAAAUAUAUAUGGAAAAAGGUAUUUUAAAUAUUGCGCAUGUAAAAUAAAACUAUUUUUAAAGUA